GUCGAACGGAUCCUUCGGGAUUAGUGGCGGACGGGUGAGUAACACGUGGGAACGUGCCCUUUGGUUCGGAACAACUCAGGGAAACUUGAGCUAAUACCGGAUGUGCCCUUCGGGGGAAAGAUUUAUCGCCAUUGGAGCGGCCCGCGUCUGAUUAGCUAGUUGGUGAGGUAAAGGCUCACCAAGGCUACGAUCAGUAGCUGGUCUGAGAGGAUGAUCAGCCACACUGGGACUGAGACACGGCCCAGACUCCUACGGGAGGCAGCAGUAGGGAAUCUUGCGCAAUGGGCGAAAGCCUGACGCAGCCAUGCCGCGUGAAUGAUGAAGGUCUUAGGAUUGUAAAAUUCUUUCAGCGGGGACGAUAAUGACGGUACCCGCAGAAGAAGCCCCGGCUAACUUCGUGCCAGCAGCCGCGGUAAUACGAAGGGGGCUAGCGUUGCUCGGAAUUACUGGGCGUAAAGGGCGCGUAGGCGGAUGUUUAAGUCAGAGGUGAAAGCCCAGGGCUCAACCUUGGAACUGCCUUUGAUACUGGACAUCUUGAGUAUGGGAGAGGUGAGUGGAACUCCGAGUGUAGAGGUGAAAUUCGUAGAUAUUCGGAAGAACACCAGUGGCGAAGGCGACUCACUGGCCCAUUACUGACGCUGAGGCGCGAAAGCGUGGGGAGCAAACAGGAUUAGAUACCCUGGUAGUCCACGCUGUAAACGAUGAGUGCUAGUUGUCGGCAUGCAUGCAUGUCGGUGACGCAGUUAACGCAUUAAGCACUCCGCCUGGGGAGUACGGUCGCAAGAUUA
rnacentral:rRNA from 1 species